GGCUAUCUCUGCGCAAUUUCGCUAAUAGCGAAAUUCUGAAAAUCUUCUUCUGCUCCAAUGAGAUGGCUCCAUGUGGCCCUUAUCCACUUGAGUUUCACUGUAACUUCGCCAAUGGUGAAACCUCUCUGUGAGUUUUUUGCUAUCAGCGAAAUAUUCGCUAAUAGCGAAUUUCUUCAAAACAACUUCAAUGAAAUCGCCAACGGUUCGCCAAUGGCUAAGUCUCCCUAGAACAUUUUCGCUAUUAGCGAAAUUCUUGUGAACUUUGGCAUUUCUUUAUCCUGGCUUGUAUUUUC
rnacentral:lncRNA from 1 species